CAGCCAUGGACUAUUGUACUCAAUAUAAUUAAAUCAUGUUUAACUAUAAACACAGGUGUCCGGUUAGGAUAAAUGUUCUAAAUAUCGAUCUCAUUUUUCAUCGAUGGAGGUGAAAGGUUAUGUUACCGGAGCCGAGAUAAAAGUUGGCAUGAGAACUUUACGGCGGUCAGUCGAGUCAGUUGGCCAAGAGAAUUUUGUGAAGUUCGUGCAUCCUUCUCUCCUGCUCAUCUGUAUCGUCUAUCUCGGCUAUCCUCCUCUGCAUCAGUUACACUGUCUAGAAGAAAAAGGAAGCCAACGCCGAUCCGACUUCUCUCACCUUUGCGCCGACACCGUCCUGUUGUGCCUUUGACUCCGGUUUAGAACUUUCUUUUAGACUAUUUUGAAAGGUAUUCUCCCAAGAAAUUGUCGGAUUUUUUCUGUGUAAAAUCGGAG
rnacentral:lncRNA from 1 species